UCUUCCUUCCCCCAUCUAAAGUUUUGGUUUUUACUUCUUUGUGUUUUAGAUUGUUUUUUGACUUGUAUCUUAAGGAUUGAAGAGAAUUAGCACAGAUACAUUCUGAUGUUAAGUAAAAUAGUAAAUCACAGUAGGUGACAGUGGUUAUGGUUUUCUCUGUUAGUAAGUUGUUAAAGAAUUUGUGAAGAUAGUCAUGAAUGUACUAAGUAUUCAAAUUCUGUUUCAGUUCAAGUUGCCAUGUCUACACUAUGACAAAAAUUUGACAGGGAAUAAAGUGCAUCUAGAAUCAUCAAUGCCAGUGUGUUCCUUCCUUUUCAGUGUUGAUACCAAACCUUCCUUUCCUUUUAAGAAUAAUCAGCAGCAAUCAUCAACCAAAAAAUGGGGUCUACUUAAAAGUGACUGGAUUGGCUGUUUAAAUAGUAAGAGUUGUUGGCCUGGUAUGGUAUGGUCAUUUAGGUUCCUGCAGAGAGGGCCUCAGUUUCUAUCUUUCCCAUCAAAGGCCUUCUUCUUGAGAGUGGGAUCUCAAGACUCUUGGUUGGAGGUCAUUGAGCUCUUGGCCUACCUGGUUGUGUAGAUAUGGAUUUUCAAAUAGGGGUGGAGGCCCAUAGGUUAUUACUGUUGUUUGGAAAGAUUUUCCUGUAGAUCCAGUCUUAAUGCUUUUCUGACAUUCUAGCAAGGGCAGACCCUGUACAAAGUAGAUAUCAGUGUUAAUAAUAUGAGGAGACAAAAUAAUGAGUAUAGUUAUAUCAAAGAUAAUGAAAUAUUGCAUAAUGUCUGCAAUUUACCAUUGAUUUGAAUGAAUCAUUAGAAAACUAAAUGUAAAACCUGGGACAUUGUUUUGAAUUGUAUGCUCCCUCAUAACUUUGUAUGAACUUUUAUACAAGCACUGUUUUAUGAGUUAUAUAAAACAUUUUUAAAAAGUAAAACAUUAGAAUUGAGUUUGGGGAACACACACUUGUUAAUAAGACACACUUUGUGUCCUCACAGAGAUGAAUAUCUGAUUGUGAUAUAGACAAAAAGUGAGAAUAUGUUAUAUUAUUAUGUCACAGGUGAGGUAUACAAAAGAAAUUAUGAACCAGAAGCACAUGACAAAUUUGUUCUGAUGGGGCAAAAAGUCCUUUGAGGAAUUUUUCAUGGAGACCAUGGCACUGGAGUUGCAUCUCAAGCAUUCCAUUGAGUUUAUGCACCAUAUUUUCUUUAUCUAUUCAUCCAUCAAUGGACAUUGGGUUGCUUGUACUCCUUGGCUAUUGUGACUAAUGCUUCAUGAAUUCUUUUAAAACAUCAGAAGUAUCAAGACAGACAAAAGACUGUUGGAAAACAUUUACCUACCAUCCUGAAUGGUCAUAAAUAGCAGGUAGGAGAUGACAUCUUGGGAAUGCCCUCUUAGCUUCUCUAGGCUUAUAAUCAUCUAAGUGGAAAUGAAU